rnacentral:rRNA from 1 species
CAGUCGCCGCGGUAAUACAGAGGGUGCAAGCGUUAAUCGGAUUUACUGGGCGUAAAGGGCGCGUAGGUGGUUAUGUAAGUGAGAUGUGAAAUCCCCGGGCUCAACCUGGAAACUGCAUCUUAUACUGCGUAGCUGGAGUGCAGUAGAGGGUAGUGGAAUUUCCGGUGUAGCGGUGAAAUGCGUAGAUAUCGGAAGGAACACCUGUGGCGAAAGCGGCUCACUGGACCAUUUCUGACGCUGAUGCACGAAAGCUAGGGAAGCAAACAGGAUUAGAUACCCGUGUAGUCCCUGUCUCUUAUAC